rnacentral:rRNA from 1 species
ACGAACGCUGGCGGCGUGCCUAAUACAUGCAAGUCGUACGCUUCUUUUUCCACCGGAGCUUGCUCCACCGGAAAAAGAAGAGUGGCGAACGGGUGAGUAACACGUGGGUAACCUACCCAUCAGAAGGGGAUAACACUUGGAAACAGGUGCUAAUACCGUAUAACAAUCGAAACCGCAUGGUUUUGAUUUGAAAGGCGCUUUCGGGUGUCGCUGAUGGAUGGACCCGCGGUGCAUUAGCUAGUUGGUGAGGUAACGGCUCACCAAGGCUACGAUGCAUAGCCGACCUGAGAGGGUGAUCGGCCACAUUGGGACUGAGACACGGCCCAAACUCCUACGGGAGGCAGCAGUAGGGAAUCUUCGGCAAUGGACGAAAGUCUGACCGAGCAACGCCGCGUGAGUGAAGAAGGUUUUCGGAUCGUAAAACUCUGUUGUUAGAGAAGAACAAGGAUGAGAGUAACUGUUCAUCCCUUGACGGUAUCUAACCAGAAAGCCACGGCUAACUACGUGCCAGCAGCCGCGGUAAUACGUAGGUGGCAAGCGUUGUCCGGAUUUAUUGGGCGUAAAGCGAGCGCAGGCGGUUUCUUAAGUCUGAUGUGAAAGCCCCCGGCUCAACCGGGGAGGGUCAUUGGAAACUGGGAGACUUGAGUGCAGAAGAGGAGAGUGGAAUUCCAUGUGUAGCGGUGAAAUGCGUAGAUAUAUGGAGGAACACCAGUGGCGAAGGCGGCUCUCUGGUCUGUAACUGACGCUGAGGCUCGAAAGCGUGGGGAGCAAACAGGAUUAGAUACCCUGGUAGUCCACGCCGUAAACGAUGAGUGCUAAGUGUUGGAGGGUUUCCGCCCUUCAGUGCUGCAGCUAACGCAUUAAGCACUCCGCCUGGGGAGUACGACCGCAAGGUUGAAACUCAAAGGAAUUGACGGGGGCCCGCACAAGCGGUGGAGCAUGUGGUUUAAUUCGAAGCAACGCGAAGAACCUUACCAGGUCUUGACAUCCUUUGACCACUCUAGAGAUAGAGCUUCCCCUUCGGGGGCAAAGUGACAGGUGGUGCAUGGUUGUCGUCAGCUCGUGUCGUGAGAUGUUGGGUUAAGUCCCGCAACGAGCGCAACCCUUAUUGUUAGUUGCCAUCAUUCAGUUGGGCACUCUAGCAAGACUGCCGGUGACAAACCGGAGGAAGGUGGGGAUGACGUCAAAUCAUCAUGCCCCUUAUGACCUGGGCUACACACGUGCUACAAUGGGAAGUACAACGAGUCGCGAAGUCGCGAGGCUAAGCUAAUCUCUUAAAGCUUCUCUCAGUUCGGAUUGUAGGCUGCAACUCGCCUACAUGAAGCCGGAAUCGCUAGUAAUCGCGGAUCAGCACGCCGCGGUGAAUACGUUCCCGGGCCUUGUACACACCGCCCGUCACACCACGAGAGUUUGUAACGCCCGAAGUCGGUGAGGUAACCUUUUGGAGCCAGCCGCCUAAGGUGGGAUAGAUGAUUGGGGUG